AAGACUAUAGACCUGCGGAGUACCUGCGGAAGGAUCAUUACUGAGUAACGUGGUCUUUUUUUCAUGACCCGCUACCCGCCCUUUGUCAUAUGUUGGACGAGGUCGUCUUUAGGGGCGGCCUCCGACCCCACUUCCCGGGAGGCGUUGCGCCUCAUCAAAGUCUAGGCCUUGAUGAGGAUGGGACCGCCCGGGGUCUUUUUCAAACCCUUUGUGAGAAAUCUGAAGUCUGAAGCGAAAGCU
rnacentral:misc_RNA from 1 species